rnacentral:misc_RNA from 1 species
UUUCCGUAGGUGAACCUGCGGAAGGAUCAUUAUUGUAUAACCGAGGUGCGAGGGCUGUCGCUGACCCGAAAGGUCGUGCACGCCCGAGUGCCCUCACACACAUCCAUCUCACCCCUAUGUGCACCACCGCGUGAGUCCCCCUUUGGCUUGUUCGGAGGGGGGCUUACGUUUUCACACAAACUUUGUAUGCAGUGUAGAAUGUAUUUUUUGUUUUUGCGAUCACGCAAUCAAUACAACUUUCAACAACGGAUCUCUUGGCUCUC